UUCAGUGGUCACAAAGACCCAAUAUGAUUGGUUGAGCAUGUUUUAGAGUAAAGUCCAAUGCACUCAGCAGUACAAGCCAAACAAAUAAUGGCGAAACCGAAUUUGAUUGGUAUAGUUUUACCAUAUUCGGCAUUUCUGGGAUCCCAAAAACUGCAGGCAAAGAAUACCAAAGUAGCGGUGAUAAUAAAUUCAAUAGCAACAGCCUGCAUAUAACCCAAUUCCGGAUGUGGCAAUGUUAGACAGAAACCAUCAUUGUUCUGUCCAGUGGGAAGAAAAGAGCUUGGAAUUAGAAACAUAAGAAGGGCAUAACCCGUAUAGCAACCCAACAAUUGAGCACAAACAUAGCGGACGGACAAAAGCGGACUAAUUAGAUUCAUAACAUAAGCAGCCAAUGUAAUGGCUGGACUUAAAUGAGCACCCGAUACACAACCCAAACUUUGGACUAUAAGCAUAACGGUAAAACCGAUAUUUAAGGCAAUUUUAAAUAAACUGUUUUCAUUUCCGGCACAACCCAAACAGCCUAGGAAUACUAGAAUAGUAGUACCCACAAAUUCCGCUAAUAAACGUGACACUAUAUCGUACGGCAACAUGGUAUGGCGUUAUCCAAUUUGAACAAUAACAAGUAGGAGUUCUAUAUUCAGCUGUGCCGAAUCUUAUAUACCCUUCAAAACAAAUCUGUAUUAUUGAAGAAAUUGUAAGAAGUUGUCAAGGGUUUCGUUAUUUUUAAACAGAUUUCAACAUACUCACAAACAAAAAACACCCCCAUCCCACCGCUGCCAGUACCACUAGGCUGCCGGGACAAUAAACUGGUAAUAUCACUUCACUCCUCGGCUAGUCCUUGGUAUAAUUUGACAUGGGGUCUAAUCAGAAAACAACACUAUCGGGUAGCCAGUUGCCCGAAGGACUCAGUCCUUGCUGAUAAGUUGGUUAAGGCUUCUUCGAAAUCCACGUAGUGGCUGUGGUUUAAACGCGAAUUUGGGUUUAAACCACGGCCACUACGUGGAUUUCGAAGAAGCCUUAACCAAUGUAUGUGGUAUGACCAGUGUAUGUGGCGGUUAAAGGACUGAUGUAAAGUAAAGCCAAUAUUUCGGGAAAAGUUUGGUACUAUUGCCGAAGACAACAUAUACCCCACAGAGGAGUGACUGUUGGAUGUUUUUGCAUCUCGGAAGUUAAGCAACGAGGCAGCAAUGGUCAGAGAUUAUAUAGCUGGAGCAAAGUGCACGCAUAAGGGACCGGACAUCCAUAUACGUAAAUUGCAAGCUCCG